CUGUGUUUGCUCCUGGUGAGUUGUACGGAAAUGCUCCUUUCAGGACACGAAGAACCAUGAGUCUGUUACUACUGGAAGUUUACAUCUAAAUCUGGAAUGCAGACUACUAAGAAAUAUGAGUAAGAGAGACCUUGUCAGUACUUACAGUCCAAGGUACACUCUGCCCACCUGCCUGUCACGGUCCACUCACUAGGGGUGC
rnacentral:lncRNA from 1 species